GCGGCCGGCAUGACGUCCCACCAGGACCCCUGCAGUCCCAGUGCACCCGCCUGGUCAUCCGGGGCCUGUCCUCACUGCCUGCUGCCUGCACUGUGUGGAAGGACAGAGGCUAAACGAGGAAGCCUGGAACUCUGGUCUCACGGACAUGGCAGCCUGCCCACCACCCACGCCUGCCCAGCCUUUCUUCACGCAGCGCUUAAAACGUGGAGAGCGGAAUCUUCUGGGCCCAGGUAACACACCUUUGCUCCGACAUUCCCUUCACUACUCACUGGCGAGCUCAGUUGGAAAUUCGCUCCCAGUAGGAGGUUCCGCAGCAGACACAUGUGUUGGGCCAAAAACAAACAGGCAAACAGACAGAGAAACAGAAACGAAGGGGACCUCAUACAUAAAAACACCAGGAAAUGAAGGGGACCUCAUACAUAAAAACACCAGGAAACGCAGGGGACCUCAUACAUAAAAACACCGGGAAACGAAGGAGACCUCAUACAUAAAAACACCAGGAAAUGAAGGAGACCUCAUACAUAAAAACACCAGGAACCUGAUGAGCAAUCAGCUUUGCAUUUACCAACCAUCUGUCUUCUCAAAGGACACUUACGUUGGAGAGAUUGACACCUCCCUUGAUCUCCACUGGCCACCAUCAUCCCUGCACAAGGACACUGAAUGCCUGCCACGUAGGCAAAAUAGCGCGUCUACCGUGCACAUCCGAAAAACAGUGGGCCUACUGUGCACAUCUGAAUCCGAACACACCCCUCUAUGUAGAAACUCUGUAGCCCAGAUUUGAUCUGUUCUGCUUUUCUCUUGAUGUGUGAUAACCUCAACACCAGUGGCAUCAAAUGACAACCCUAUCAUACUCACGGUGCUGUAAGCCAGGCAUCCAGGUG
rnacentral:lncRNA from 1 species